UUCGCGUGCGUUCGCGUCGCGCGCUGGGCGAAAUAAUUUUAAACGUGUGAUUAGUUUUGCGCGCGGGGUAGAAAAAGAUGUGGCCCUUGCUUUGUGUAUUACUCGUGCCCCACUUCAAAGCAAAGCGUUCGUACGCACUGGAAGAUGGAUCCACGAAGGCUGAAACGAGAAGUUGCAACGUGCCCGGUCGGUAGUACUGGCAUGACGGAAAUUUUCAGGCAAGUGCCCGUUUAUUUGGUAUUUGUUUUGUUCGCUUUAGAAAUAUCUCACUGUGAUCUCGUAGCAUAAUUCAUAAUUCGCUAAUGUAAGAGCAAGAGCAGCUGCACUCCUACUAGGGCAAGUGAACUACCUCGAUCGCUUCCCGUGUGACUAAUGUUUGUCAAAUCUACAUCGGGCGUGGUGCGCCUGCAUAGUUACGCUUUGUUUCUCAGCGCUUGAGCGUUCAUUGAUGUGAUUCUCUUGUGCGUUCAGCGCGGCUGCUUGUAAUACGGUCGUUCGCACUUCAGUUAAAUGUGGUCGACCACUUUUGCGUCGCGUAGAAAAAGGACUGGCUUAGCCACCUUUCGAAAGAACCGGCGUGGUAUUGGUUCUCCCUGAUGCGGUCGCGUGCUGCUGUUGCUGCUUGCCGGACGCCUUCAGCAUUUUUUCGGCUCGCUUUGUCUGCGUGUGCGCGUGCUCGCGCUCGGCUCGAUUUGUGUGUGCGUGUGUGCGCUCAGCUCAGCUCGCUUUGUGUGUGUGUGCGUGCGUGCGCUCGGCUCGCUGUGUGUGUGUGUGUGUGCGUGCGUGCGCUCGGCUCGCUGUGUGUGUGUGUGUGUGCGCGCGCGCGCGUACAGUACAUGCCGGUUUGUAUGGGCCGGCGUGUAUGCGCGUGUCUAGUGCGUACGUGUUUUGUGAGUGUGUUGUCUGUGGGUUGCUGUGUGUGCGUCCUCGUGUUAGCGUGUCUGCCUGCAUGCAUAUAUGUGUGUUUGUGUGUGCGCAUCAAUGUGCGCGUGCGCGCUUUUGUGUCUGCGCUUUGAGAGUGCGUAUACUUGUGUGUGCGUGAGUGCGUUUUGUGUGCGUGCGUAUGCAUUGCAGGAGGCCGGUAGUUUUACUCGCAAUAAAACUUCCGAUUUGGUGCAGCGAGUGUUCCCGCCUGAAAGCCGAGUUUGGUUUCAAGCCACCCUGGACAACUGCUGUAUGAGGCGCCGUUUCUCGGGAGCACCAGUGGGAAGGCGCCAGGUCAUGCAGAUGGCAGCAGCAAUUUCACAAUGCCCAGCCUUGGCGCCCCCCAUCAAGUACAAGCCACUUGCGUUCGCCUUCAGACAGAUGGUUAAUGUCUGCUUGGAAGCGGUUGAGAAGACAACAUUGAUGCAAGAUUCCAGCAAUGCCAUGCGCUGCGUUGGUCAAGAUGCUCAGAGAAUGGAGUCCCUGCACCUAGUGGUUAACCGUGAACAUUUCUUUUUCUUUUGGAAAGCUAAAGGCCAUUUGCUGCAGCACUUGCAUUUUUACAGCUCAGAUGUGUACUAUAUUUUUCUAAUUUUGAAUUAAUAUUGGCUGUUCAGUAUAAAAAAUGACGUAUAGUGUGAAGGACAAGGACUGCGACAGACACACUCCACUCACUUUCAACAAUAUUUUAUUGCGUUGCCACAUUGUGUGUGUAUACACAAGAGGGGUCAUGCGCAGAAAAUGAAAGCCAGUCACAAGGGGUGUUCUAACAGCAAGUCAUUGUAAAAAGAACAUGGUCACUUGAAAAAAAACAUCACAAUUUCUAUCUGUUUAGAUACAAAAUUUCACUAGGGGUCAGCCGGAUAGAGGGGGCACUAACGCACACACUAUCCAGUUUUCUGGUGAAAUCAGCUUCAAUAAUUUACCGGUUGAGCUGUGUCUCGCUAAAACUUCCGUAUCUUCAAAGAGGGCCAAUGCAACCGCAGUCCCGGCAAUGAAUGCCCAAGUGGCCUUGAACAGUGUUAUUGACGUUGUUAUAGUGCUCUCUUAAACGAUCAUUUAGGCGCCUGCCUGUCUGUCCAAUAUAUUUACUUCCUCAAAAUGGGAAUUUGGGAAACCACAUUCGUUGCACACAUCGCAAAGCGUUUUCUGUGCCCGGCAGAGCAACAACUCUGACGCUAUUUAGGCGCGUUUACACGCUUACAGAGCCUUGCCAGCUUUUCCGGGGCUGAGAAAAGGACUGUGAUUACUGCAGGUUCCCUAAUCUUUUUUUUAGCCUGUGGGAGACAUCAUGAACAUACGGUAGCACUGCAAACCUGUGUCUUUCAAUUGGCUGGUUCCUUGACCGAGCGCGCUCAUCAUGUUUUGUGCACUUCAGAAGCUGUUCCGCUAUGGCUGAAAUUAAGGCCAAAGGGUAGCCAACCCAAGAAAGGCAGUCAACCUGUGCAGCAACACUAUGUUGCAUCUCGUGUGAGCAAGAUUUAUUGAAGCUGUUAAGCAGGCAAAGCUUUACAAUAUCUCAUUUCACUUUGUUGGACAGGCAGGCAGACGCCUAAACAAUCAUUUAGGAGAGCACGAUAACAACGUCCAUAACACUGUUCAAGGCCACUUCGGCAUCCAUUGCUGGGACUGCGGCUGCGUGCCCCUCUUUGAAGGUACCGAAGCUUUAGGGAGACGCAGGUCAUCCGGGUAACUAUAGAAGCAGAUUCCACUAGAAAACUGGUUAGUGUGUGCGUUAGUGACCCCUCUAUCGUGCUGACCCCUAGUGAAGUCUUGUAUCUCAACAGAUAGAAAUUCGAAUGUUUAUUUUUUUUCAAAGGACGAUUUCUUAGUACAGUCACUUGCUGUUGGACACCCCUUGUGACUCAUAUUCUGCGCAUGCCCGCUUUUGUACAUAUACACAUGAUGUGGCAACCUAAUAAAAUAUUGUUGGAA